UACGUAGGGGUGCAAGCGUUCGUUCCGGAAUUAUUGGGCGUAAAGAGCUCGUAGGCGGUUGUCGCGUCUGCUGUGAAACUCGGGCUACCCGGCUGCAGUGGGUACGGGCAGACUAGAGUGCGGUAGGGGAGACUGGAAUUCCUGGUGGUAGCGGUGAAAUGCGCAGAUAUCAGGAAGAACACCCGUGGCUAAGGCGGCUCUCUAGUACGGUACUGACGCUGAGACGCGAAAGCGUGGGGAGCGAACAGGAUUA
rnacentral:rRNA from 1 species